rnacentral:rRNA from 1 species
AAAGCGUGCGCAGGCGGUUUUGUAAGUCUGUCGUGAAAUCCCCGGGCUCAACCUGGGAAUGGCGAUGGAGACUGCAAGGCUAGAGUUUGGCAGAGGGGGGUAGAAUUCCACGUGUAGCAGUGAAAUGCGUAGAUAUGUGGAGGAACACCGAUGGCGAAGGCAGCCCCCUGGGUCAAAACUGACGCUCAUGCACGAAAGCGUGGGGAGCAAACAGGAUUAGAUACCCUGGU